rnacentral:tRNA from 1 species
GCGGGGACAGCUCAGUUGGGAGAGCGUCAGACUGAAGAUAGGUCGCGUGUUCGAUUCAGGCUCACCGCA